rnacentral:rRNA from 1 species
CAGCAGCCGCGGGAAUACAGAGGGUGCGAGCGUUAAUCGGAUUUACUGGGCGUAAAGCGUGCGUAGGCGGCUUCUUAAGUCGGAUGUGAAAUCCCUGAGCUUAACUUAGGAAUUGCAUUCGAUACUGGGAAGCUAGAGUAUGGGAGAGGAUGGUAGAAUUCCAGGUGUAGCGGUGAAAUGCGUAGAGAUCUGGAGGAAUACCGAUGGCGAAGGCAGCCAUCUGGCCUAAUACUGACGCUGAGGUACGAAAGCAUGGGGAGCAAACAGGAUUAGAUACCUCCGUAGUCCCUGUCUCUUAUAC